rnacentral:rRNA from 1 species
UACGGAGGGGGCUAGCGUUGUUCGGAAUUACUGGGCGUAAAGCGCGUGUAGGCGGCCCUGCAAGUCGGGUGUGAAAUCCCAUGGCUCAACUAUGGAAGUGCACUCGAAACUGCAGGGCUAGAGUCCUGGAGAGGAAGGUGGAAUGCUUGGUGUAGAGGUGAAAUUCGUAGAUAUCAAGCGGAACACCGGUGGCGAAGGCGGCCUUCUGGACAGUGACUGACGCUGAGACGCGAAAGCGUGGGGAGCAAACAGG